UACGGAGGGGGUUAGCGUUGUUCGGAAUUACUGGGCGUAAAGCGCACGUAGGCGGAUUGAUCAGUUAGAGGUGAAAUCCCAGGGCUCAACCCUGGAACUGCCUUUAAUACUGUCAGUCUAGAGAUCGAGAGAGGUGAGUGGAAUUCCAAGUGUAGAGGUGAAAUUCGUAGAUAUUUGGAGGAACACCAGUGGCGAAGGCGGCUCACUGGCUCGAUACUGACGCUGAGGUGCGAAAGCGUGGGGAGCAAACAGGAUUAGAUACCCCCGUA
rnacentral:rRNA from 1 species